CUCGCUCGGACUUUCAGAGAUGGAUGGGUGCCUUCGGGAACUCUGACACAGGUGCUGCAUGGCCGUCGUCAGCUCGUGUCGUGAGAUGUUGGGUUAAGUCCCGUAACGAGCGCAACCCCUAUCCCUAGUUGCUAGCAGUUCGGCUGAGAACUCUAGGGAGACUGCCGGUGACAAACCGGAGGAAGGUGGGGAUGACGUCAGGUCAUCAUGGCCCUUACGGCCAGGGCUACACACGUGCUACAAUGGUGCGCACAGAGGGCUGCAAACCCGCGAGGGGGAGCCAAUCUCACAAAACGCAUCGUAGUCCGGAUCGCAGUCUGCAACUCGACUGCGUGAAGUCGGAAUCGCUAGUAAUCGUGAAUCAGAAUGUCACGGUGAAUACGUUCCCGGGUCUUGUACACACCA
rnacentral:rRNA from 1 species